rnacentral:rRNA from 2 species
UUAAGCGACUAAGCGUACACGGUGGAUGCCCUGGCAGUCAGAGGCGAUGAAGGACGUGCUAAUCUGCGAUAAGCGUCGGUGAGGUGAUAUGAACCGUUAUAACCGGCGAUUUCCGAAUGGGGAAACCCAGUGUGUUUCGACACACUAUCAUUAACUGAAUCCAUAGGUUAAUGAGGCGAACCGGGGGAACUGAAACAUCUAAGUACCCCGAGGAAAAGAAAUCAACCGAGAUUCCCCCAGUAGCGGCGAGCGAACGGGGAGGAGCCCAGAGCCUGAAUCAGUGUGUGUGUUAGUGGAAGCGUCUGGAAAGGCGCGCGAUACAGGGUGACAGCCCCGUACACAAAAAUGCACAUACUGUGAGCUCGAUGAGUAGGGCGGGACACGUGGUAUCCUGUCUGAAUAUGGGGGGACCAUCCUCCAAGGCUAAAUACUCCUGACUGACCGAUAGUGAACCAGUACCGUGAGGGAAAGGCGAAAAGAACCCCGGCGAGGGGAGUGAAAAAGAACCUGAAACCGUGUACGUACAAGCAGUGGGAGCCUCUUAAUGGGGUGACUGCGUACCUUUUGUAUAAUGGGUCAGCGACUUAUAUUCUGUAGCAAGGUUAACCGAAUAGGGGAGCCGAAGGGAAACCGAGUCUUAACUGGGCGUUAAGUUGCAGGGUAUAGACCCGAAACCCGGUGAUCUAGCCAUGGGCAGGUUGAAGGUUGGGUAACACUAACUGGAGGACCGAACCGACUAAUGUUGAAAAAUUAGCGGAUGACUUGUGGCUGGGGGUGAAAGGCCAAUCAAACCGGGAGAUAGCUGGUUCUCCCCGAAAGCUAUUUAGGUAGCGCCUCGUGAAUUCAUCUCCGGGGGUAGAGCACUGUUUCGGCAAGGGGGUCAUCCCGACUUACCAACCCGAUGCAAACUGCGAAUACCGGAGAAUGUUAUCACGGGAGACACACGGCGGGUGCUAACGUCCGUCGUGAAGAGGGAAACAACCCAGACCGCCAGCUAAGGUCCCAAAGUCAUGGUUAAGUGGGAAACGAUGUGGGAAGGCCCAGACAGCCAGGAUGUUGGCUUAGAAGCAGCCAUCAUUUAAAGAAAGCGUAAUAGCUCACUGGUCGAGUCGGCCUGCGCGGAAGAUGUAACGGGGCUAAACCAUGCACCGAAGCUGCGGCAGCGACACUAUGUGUUGUUGGGUAGGGGAGCGUUCUGUAAGCCUGUGAAGGUGGCCUGUGAGGGUUGCUGGAGGUAUCAGAAGUGCGAAUGCUGACAUAAGUAACGAUAAAGCGGGUGAAAAGCCCGCUCGCCGGAAGACCAAGGGUUCCUGUCCAACGUUAAUCGGGGCAGGGUGAGUCGACCCCUAAGGCGAGGCCGAAAGGCGUAGUCGAUGGGAAACAGGUUAAUAUUCCUGUACUUGGUGUUACUGCGAAGGGGGGACGGAGAAGGCUAUGUUGGCCGGGCGACGGUUGUCCCGGUUUAAGCGUGUAGGCUGGUUUUCCAGGCAAAUCCGGAAAACCAAGGCUGAGGCGUGAUGACGAGGCACUACGGUGCUGAAGCGACAAAUGCCCUGCUUCCAGGAAAAGCCUCUAAGCAUCAGGUAACAUCAAAUCGUACCCCAAACCGACACAGGUGGUCAGGUAGAGAAUACCAAGGCGCUUGAGAGAACUCGGGUGAAGGAACUAGGCAAAAUGGUGCCGUAACUUCGGGAGAAGGCACGCUGAUAUGUAGGUGAAGCGACUUGCUCGUGGAGCUGAAAUCAGUCGAAGAUACCAGCUGGCUGCAACUGUUUAUUAAAAACACAGCACUGUGCAAACACGAAAGUGGACGUAUACGGUGUGACGCCUGCCCGGUGCCGGAAGGUUAAUUGAUGGGGUUAGCGGCAACGCGAAGCUCUUGAUCGAAGCCCCGGUAAACGGCGGCCGUAACUAUAACGGUCCUAAGGUAGCGAAAUUCCUUGUCGGGUAAGUUCCGACCUGCACGAAUGGCGUAAUGAUGGCCAGGCUGUCUCCACCCGAGACUCAGUGAAAUUGAACUCGCUGUGAAGAUGCAGUGUACCCGCGGCAAGACGGAAAGACCCCGUGAACCUUUACUAUAGCUUGACACUGAACAUUGAGCCUUGAUGUGUAGGAUAGGUGGGAGGCUUUGAAGUGUGGACGCCAGUCUGCAUGGAGCCGACCUUGAAAUACCACCCUUUAAUGUUUGAUGUUCUAACGUUGGCCCGUAAUCCGGGUUGCGGACAGUGUCUGGUGGGUAGUUUGACUGGGGCGGUCUCCUCCUAAAGAGUAACGGAGGAGCACGAAGGUUGGCUAAUCCUGGUCGGACAUCAGGAGGUUAGUGCAAUGGCAUAAGCCAGCUUGACUGCGAGCGUGACGGCGCGAGCAGGUGCGAAAGCAGGUCAUAGUGAUCCGGUGGUUCUGAAUGGAAGGGCCAUCGCUCAACGGAUAAAAGGUACUCCGGGGAUAACAGGCUGAUACCGCCCAAGAGUUCAUAUCGACGGCGGUGUUUGGCACCUCGAUGUCGGCUCAUCACAUCCUGGGGCUGAAGUAGGUCCCAAGGGUAUGGCUGUUCGCCAUUUAAAGUGGUACGCGAGCUGGGUUUAGAACGUCGUGAGACAGUUCGGUCCCUAUCUGCCGUGGGCGCUGGAGAACUGAGGGGGGCUGCUCCUAGUACGAGAGGACCGGAGUGGACGCAUCACUGGUGUUCGGGUUGUCAUGCCAAUGGCACUGCCCGGUAGCUAAAUGCGGAAGAGAUAAGUGCUGAAAGCAUCUAAGCACGAAACUUGCCCCGAGAUGAGUUCUCCCUGACUCCUUGAGGGUCCUGAAGGAACGUUGAAGACGACGACGUUGAUAGGCCGGGUGUGUAAGCGCAGCGAUGCGUUGAGCUAACCGGUACUAAUGAACCGUGAGGCUUAACCUU